GAAAAAUAUUAGUAAGCAUUAAUUGUUAAUAUAAGUAUUUAUUUUAGCAAGCAUUAAUUGUCAAUAUAAGUAUUUAUUUUACGUUUUAUUUAAAUUUAGCAAUUUGAUUAAAAUACUAAAUGUAUAAUUAGGUGGGUUAGAAUUAGACUUGGAUACAAAUUAAUAAAUUAUAAUUUAAAUAAAUAUUAUAUUUAAUUUAUUACACUAAAAUCUUUAUUUUUAUUCUAAUUUUAUUUAUUAUUUUAAUUUUUUAUUAUAUGGAUAAUAACAAGUUUAACAAUUAAAACUCUCGCGCAUAAUAUAUGAGUAAAAAAAACUAUAAAUGUAUAAAAUUUUUAAUAUUUGAAAGGAGAUAUUUCAAUAUGAACAGGAAUUUCAUAUAUCUGAAAGAUAUUUGUUAAAUAUUUAAUAUAUAUUGUUUACUGUAUUCAUUUGGAUCAAUGUUAGUAAUCAAGCAAUACUAGCAUUGUUAACCAAUAUAGUUAAGUAACUAAAAACGAUGAGAUAUCAACAAUUGAAUCUUACAAGUGAUAGCAAAGGUGCCUAUCAGAAAAUAUUUUGGUGGUAAUUUACCACAAAUUGAAAAUUAAUACAUUGAAACGUACAAAAAUAGAGAGGUUGAGGAUGUUAUAACAGUGUCAAGAAUUGCUUAUAUGUAAAGUAUUAUAAUUGAAAUUACAAAAUCAAUUCAAUAUAAGACAUCAAUAAAAAUAAUACCAAAAUAGUUACUUAAUUCUUCCCACACAUGCAUUUUGACAAUCUUAAUUGCAAUAUUUGAUUCAGUAAACCAGUUACAUUUUCACAUAAUUUUUUAUAUAACACAAAAGAAAACAUAAAUCUUUCAAUACUAUUUCAUGGCCGUAGAUAUUUGGCCUUGCAUGCUGUUAUUGUACCUUUGUUGGAGCACUUCAGUGGAAACUUAGUUAGUCUUUUAGAGGAUGGAGGUUUUGUUUACUGUUGAUUUAAUCCUUGGCUGCCAACCCAGUAUCCUUUUAAACUCAAGUAAAGCAAGCCAGCUGGGUGUCAGGUUGAAAAAGUCUCCCAUCAAAUCCACCCUCACUCUAAGUCAUGGAAUGAGUUGUUGGUAAGGCAAUCUUUUAAUAUCGAGGAGGCUAAGACUAUCCUACGACUGCCUCUGAGCUUCCUAGGGGCUAAAGAUAAAUUGAUCUAAAACUUUACAAGGGAUGGGAAGUCCAAAGUUAAUUCAAAAUAUGCAGUGGCAUCCAGCCUCCUCUCUCGGGUUGCCUCCUUCAAGGCGUUGGAAAUGGAAAGACUCAAAGCCAGUAGGGUGUGGAAAUGUUUAUGGAAUACAGGGCUCCUAAGUAAAAUUUCAAUCUUCCUUUGGAUUAAUGGUUAAUGGAUUGCCAUUUGGAACAAAAUUACAAAGAAGGGCAUCCUAGCUAGUGUGCAAUGUGCCUCCUACGGCUGUGAAGGAUAGCCCUCUUACCUUUUUUUUUUUUCUUUUUUUGUGGUAAGGCAAAGGCAGUACGGUGACUCUCACCCUUUAAGCUGAAGUCUGAAUUCCUUAGUGGAUCUUCGUUUGGGGACCGAUGGCUCUCUUUUACAGAUGGUAUUACAAAUGUAUUAUCAAGCGAU
rnacentral:lncRNA from 1 species